UACGGAGGGGGCGAGCGUUAUUCGGAAUUAUUGGGCGUAAAGGGCGCGUAGGCGGCUGCACAAGUCAAAGGUGAAAUCCCUCGGCUCAACUGAGGAACUGCCUUUGAAACUGGAGAGCUUGAGUCCGGGAGAGGUGAGUGGAACUGCGAGUGUAGAGGUGAAAUUCGUAGAUAUUGGGAAGAACACCGGUGGCGAAGGCGGCUCACUGGCUCGUAUCUGACACUCAAGCGCGACAGCGUGGGGAUCAAACAGG
rnacentral:rRNA from 1 species